rnacentral:rRNA from 1 species
GUGCCAGCAGCUGCGGUAAUACGUAGGGCGCAAGCGUUAUCCGGAAUUAUUGGGCGUAAAGAGCUCGUAGGCGGUCUGUCGCGUCUGCUGUGAAAACCCGAGGCUCAACCUCGGGCCUGCAGUGGGUACGGGCAGACUAGAGUGCGGUAGGGAGAUUGGGAAUUCCUGGUGUAGCGGUGGAAUGCGCAGAUAUCAGGAGGAACACCGAUGGCGAAGGCAGAUCUCUGGGCCGUAACUGACGCUGAGGAGCGAAAGGGUGGGGAGCAAACAGGCUUAGAUACCUGGUAGUCCACCCCGUAAACGUUGGGAACUAGUUGUGGGGACCAUUCCACGGUUUCCGUGACGCAGCUAACGCAUUAAGUUCCCCGCCUGGGGAGUACGGCCGCAAGGCUAAAACUCAAAGGAAUUGACGGGACCCGCACAAGCGGCGGAGCAUGCGGAUUAAUUCGAUGCAACG